UGGAUGUCCUCUUGUUAGUGAGUAACUCAGUGUGUCCUCUACCUUUCUCUACUUACCCUUCCAAAGCUCACGGAAAAAAAAGAAGUCAAAAAAGAAGAAGAAAAAGGAAAAAAAGAAGAAAAAGAAGAUGAAAAGCAAAAACAACAGGCUAGUUUGACUCAGGCCUUCGUUGACGCUGGAAUUCCACGUGAUGACUUUGAAGUUGUUGUCGUCACUUUUGACUAUGGGAUGAAAGACAAGGGCCCUCUUGUUGACACAUAUUU